CCGAGCGCUUGAGCAAAAGACACUCCCUGCAAUCACACUUCCUACUAGGUUCUCAAAGACUUAGAAACAAAUCUGAGUAGACGCAGACGCUCAAGCCCGGGCCGGGGGAAGUGGUGGAGGAGGCGCAAUCUAUGCCCAAGAGCGGAGCUGACUUCGUUGACGCCGCCUGACGUCUUCUCUUCCUAGGCUGCUUUUGAUGCUUCCUUUAACCUAAUCAUCUUCUUUUUCGGGAAGAGAGAGACAGAGGUCAGCGCAGAAUGACUCACCCCACCCUAAACCUUUCCUCACGACUGUCCUAAAAGAAGGGUCCCCAGAGCCUUUUGGGGUCACCGUGAAGCAAGUGACCUCCAAAGAAAAAAAAGCUGUUGUCAUGAACAAAGAACCACACCUAAUAUCUGGAUAUUCUCCACUUUCUGGAAAUCUGUAAUUAUUGAAGUUUUCUGAUUUACUCAGGUCA